rnacentral:rRNA from 1 species
AUUGAACGCUGGCGGCAGGCCUAACACAUGCAAGUCGAACGAGUGGCGGACGGGUGAGUAAUGUCUGGGAAACUGCCCGAUGGAGGGGGAUAACUACUGGAAACGGUAGCUAAUACCGCAUACCAUCGGGUGUGCCCAGAUGGGAUUGGCUAGUAGGUGGGGUAACGGCUCACCUAGGCGACGAUCCCGAGCUGGGCUGAGAGGAUGACCAGCAAAACUGGAACGGAGCCACGGUCCAUACGCCUACGCGAGGCAGCAGUGGGGAAUAUGGCACAAUGGGCGCAAGCGGGAUGCAGCCAUGCCGCGUGUAUGAAGAAGGCAUGAGGGUUGUAAAGUACUUUCAGCGGGGAGGCGGUACCCGCAGAAGAAGCACCGGCUAACUCCGUGCCAGCAGCCGCGGUAAUAC